rnacentral:rRNA from 1 species
GUAGGGGGCGAGCGUUGUCCGGAUUUAUUGGGCGUAAAGAGCUCGUAGGCGGUUUGGUAAGUUGGAUGUGAAAUCUCCAGGCUCAACUUGGAGGGGUCAUUCGAUACUGCCAUGACUAGAGUUCGGUAGGGGAGUGUGGAAUUCCUGGUGGAGCGGUGAAAUGCGCAGAUAUCAGGAGGAACACCCGUAGCGAAGGCGGCACUCUGGGCCGGAACUGACGCUGAGGAGCGAAAGCGUGGGGAGCGAACAGGAUUAGAUACCCUGGUAGUCCACGCCGUAAACGUUGGGCACUAGGUGUGGGGUUCUAUCGACGGAUUCCGUGCCGUAGCUAACGCAUUAAGUGCCCCGCCUGGGGAGUACGGCCGCCUGGCUA